GAUGAAGAACGUAGCGAAAUGCGAUAAAUAAUGUGAAUUGCAGAAUUCAGUGAAUCAUCGAGUCUUUGAACGCACAUUGCGCCCCCUGGUAUUCCGGGGGGCAUGCCUGUCCGAGCGUCAUUGCUACCCUCAAGCACGGCUUGUGUGUUGGGCCCCCGUCCCCCCCUCCCGGGGGACGGGCCCGAAAGGCAGCGGCGGCACCGCGUCCGGUCCUCGAGCGUAUGGGGCUUUGUCACCCGCUCUGUAGGCCCGGCCGGCGCCUGCCGACCACCAUCAAUCUUUUUUCAGGUUGACCUCGGAUCAGGUAGGGAUACCCGCUGAACUUAAGCAUAUCAAUAAGCGGAGGA
rnacentral:misc_RNA from 1 species